UGGCUCAGUGGUAGAGUGCUUGCCUUGCAUGCAUGAGGCCCUGGGUUCGAUCCUCAG
rnacentral:tRNA from 1 species